GAACUGAAGAGUUUGAUCAUGGCUCAGAUUGAACGCUGGCGGCAGGCCUAACACAUGCAAGUCGAGCGGAUGACGGGAGCUUGCUCCUUGAUUCAGCGGCGGACGGGUGAGUAAUGCCUAGGAAUCUGCCUGGUAGUGGGGGACAACGUUUCGAAAGGAACGCUAAUACCGCAUACGUCCUACGGGAGAAAGCAGGGGACCUUCGGGCCUUGCGCUAUCAGAUGAGCCUAGGUCGGAUUAGCUAGUUGGUGAGGUAAUGGCUCACCAAGGCGACGAUCCGUAACUGGUCUGAGAGGAUGAUCAGUCACACUGGAACUGAGACA
rnacentral:ncRNA from 1 species